UUUUUUUUUUUUUUUUAAUCUAUUUUGCAGCACACAGCAGUCAAAGCAACUCCUCUGUCUGGGCUGCCUGCAGCCCAGUAGAUAAGAGAGCAAACACCUCCCAUAGUGACAGGGACUCAUUCCAACCAUUUGUUUUGAGUUGAAUGGUAGCUCUUGGAAAACAUGUUUUCCAUUCAUAAAAAGGAAAAAACUCUACUCUUGAUACUUUCUAAUGCCAUCCUCUGGAGGCUUGAGGGCCAUGUGUCUCACACCCUUACUUUUGAGGUCUUGCUUUUAUAGACUUUGUUUUUCACUCCCAGAGAUUUAUUAUCCCAGUGCAGAAACAGUCUGGCUAUGCCUCGGCAGUGGAAAUGCAGCCAUCUAUUUGCUAAGAACAAGCUUGUGGUUUACCAGAAUAUUUCUGUUUCCUUCUGAGGUUUCCAGCUAAUGAAGGGGAAUUUAUCCAGUACAUUUAUUGACAUUAAAAUAAGAGUUGCAGUCCAUAAAUAAUCCCAUUGUUGUUUUAGUUUGCAGUUUAAAACAUUUUGUCAGCAGCAUUGUCGUCCACUGUGACUCAGCUUGUGUUUGUGCUCCUAGUAUUAGAGCUGGUAACACAGGCAUACAUUCCAGCUGUUCCCACCAGGAAGGUUUCAAAAUACAUUUUUAAAUAAUUCCUGAUCUUUUCAGCACUGAGCACCUUGGAUUCCAAGCAUGGAGACAAGUUCACCACUAUUCCUCAAGUGACAUCUAUGAAGAUAAAAGCAGCCUCCAGACAGAGAAGCAAGAAAUCCUGUAAGGGACAGGUGAGGUGGCCAGAAAAGAGCCACCUCCUGUUUUACCCACUCCUAGGAAUUCACCUGGCCCUGAACCCCCUCUAAAGGAGCCUUCAUAGACAGAAGUGUCAUCUUCUUAGUGGUGGAUCCCUGCAUUAGGAAAAGAUGCAGAUGCAUCAAGGGACACUCUGCAGUUCCUGCACCCUUCUAUUCCUGUUUUCUAGAAUGUCAACCAGUUCUUUCACAUCUAUCAGCCAGCUUUGCAAAAGGAGGUCCUUUAGCACGAGAAAAAAGUCAGGUCUUCAGAAUUAAGGCCAUAAAGAAUUACAUUUGUUAUAUUGUCUUGUUUUAAUGGGAAAUCCAGUGAAUACAAGAAAAAAUAUCAAAUAAUUUCUACAUAACACCCUCUUUGCUGGCAAUACACCGUGUGUUGAAUAAGACUUGAUUUUCAAAUAUGUGAAGUAAUCAAGUUGCAUAAAUUCUAAACUCAUGGCAAAUUUUCAACUUGAUUAGUUGAAAAAUAUUUGCUCUUCUUAGUAUGUUGGUUAUUAUCAGCUAAGUUUCUUGCAGAUUUUUAAAACCUGCUUCAAAAAAUAUAAGGAGCCACACCAGAAGACCUACAUGCUACAGACUUCAUCUCCAAAAUUCCUUUGUCUCUAUGAUCAGUUAACUAGGGGGGAAGGGUAUUUAGAGUGAUGUGUUUUGAAUUACCUUCAUUCAGAGUUUUCUCUUCCGUGAUGUGAUGUCCAGUGCCAUAGAUUACACAGGAGUGUAAAUAUGUCUUUACAGUCACAAAAGUGUUAUCUUACUGUUAAAUAUUCAGUAAUCCAGAGCCGCUUCAACAGAUUAUGCCUGACUUGCUUGUAAAAUUUGCUUACACAGAGUUCAGCCCUGCCAAAGCACUUCUCUAGGUAUUUACCUGCAGUGCUCAGCCUGCUGGCUGCCAGUCAGCUGGUACUAGCAGGAGGACAAGUGUGACACUCAAGAGGUAAAGCAAAGAAAUUGGCAGGUAUUUAAAUAGAUGUAUGAGCCAGCAAACAAGAGUGGUUUUAAUAUUAGUAGCAUUUAAAUCUCGAUCUCUAAACAAAAGAGGAUUUACUUAUUCAUGGCUCAAGAAUUACAAAUUAUUGUGGAACUGGAGUUAGAACUGAGGGCACUGGAAAUUCCUAUGAUUCAGUGUAUUUAUUGUUUUAAUUGUUCACAUUUCCUUUGCUUUGAGGGAUUUGGUCUUUGAGAGUAACAUGAUGGUCACUGCUACAUCUGUCUUGGAUUCCUUAUUCCUUAAGAAUAGCCCUAAGCAGAGAGUGUUACAGAAGUCUCUCAUUAGGAAGGAGUAGUCUCAGUCUUUCAUGUAGCUGUAGAUGAUAAAAGGCACUGAUUUAGCACUGCUGCCUGAAAGUCCACCAUACUGCUGAACUCAGUAGGUCUUGUCCAAGAAAGCCAUUUCCAGAGAGCUUUGAGGACUUGUCUGUCCUUUCUGGUUAACAAUAAAAUCUUUUCCACUAUGAGCCACUUGUAGCAAAUCCUUAUCCAAAAAUUGAAGAAUAAGUAAAAGCAAAAGGAUAAAUUCAGAAAUUAAUUUCCUAGAGCAUGUGAGUCUUCAGUAUUUGAAUCCAAAAGUAGUCCUGUGGCAUUAUCUACAAACUGGUAAGUGAUCCUUGCCUGUGCCUGCACAAAUAGCCAUGGCCUUAGCAAGCACUGGCACUCAGCAUCCUGUGUGUGAACAAGUUAAUGACAGAAAUGUGCAGAGUUUCUGCAUUUUCACCCGCUGGCCUCACUCUCUUCAAAUAUAAAAGCUGGCUGGAGCAAUCCCCCCAGUUCUCACUUGAGUUCUUUGGGUCCUUCUGCACCCCUCUCUUCCUGACCUACAUGGAAGCAAGCUUGCAUGGAGAGAUUCUGAAGGGUUACUUCUCACAGCAUCAGACAGCCUGAAAUAUAUUUUACUCAUGGCAAAACAAGGCCUCCUAAAGUUGGGCAACGUGUGCAGCUACAGCAGAUGUUCCUGGAUACACAGAAAAUUUGGAAUGAGGUUAUGAUUUGUGUUAAUAUCAGCUUAGCCAUAGCUCAAAUAAUGUCCUGGAACAGAGAUUAUCAGUGUCCAGUUGCACCUCUGAAAUACAGAGAAAAAAUAAAACCCAAUGAAGGGGCUCAUCUCAUAAUCAGGUUUCAAGUGAUUCAACAGUUGCAUUUUAUGUGUUAUAUCAUCCACUCGUGAAUAUAGUUUUAGACCUGUAGAAACAGUUUGAAAAGGACUAAGAAAAUGAAUGGAACAAGCUCUUAUGGAUUUUAAUUUAAGAUGGGAUUACUUUUGAAUUAGUAAAUCCUUUAGGGAUGGGAUAGUGAAUCAUUAUGGCAAUGUCCAGCAACUGUGCCCUCCCUAAGCAAAGACUUAAAUACUGCCCCACCUCUGGUAUGCCAGGGAUCUUUUUCCUCAUGAUAACUUAUUUCCUUAAUUAUCUACAAUUGAUUUGCCUAAGAGUCAUAUUGAGACUAUCAUAUGACAGGAAAACUAUCAAACAUUAUUAAUUUAAAAAAAAAUUAUAUCAGCCAAUCUUAAACCCACUGGCUAUCAUAUAGAAUUCAAUAGAAAAAUGAAAAUUCUAUCCUCCUGAAUAAGAUUUUUUCCAAUUGGCUGGCACACAGAAUGAGUUCAUCAUAUAGAUGCCAAUUUACAAAUAUGUCCAAUAAUAGUAGGGGGAGCAACUGUUCCACAGCUCUGCCAGUGUUCAUCAGACACAGUGACAGUAGCCACAUCAUUAAUCUCAUGGUAUAUUAGAAAUAAAGUCACUGGAAUGGAAUGGUGUCA
ensembl:lncRNA